rnacentral:rRNA from 1 species
AUAGCUCGUACUCCCCGAAAUGCUUUUAGGAGCAGCGUGGAGGUUAAGUCUGUUAGAGGUAGAGCUACCGAUAGGACUAGGGGGAGUCAAAUCCUACCAAAUCCUGACGAACUCCGAAUGCUAACAGAUAUACUCCGCAGUGAGGGCAAGGGUGCUAAGGUCCUUGUCCGAGAGGGAAAGAACCCAGAUCAUCAGCUAAGGCCCCCAAAUGUAUGUUAAGUUGAUCAAACGUUGUGCGAUUGCAUAGACAGCUAGGAUGUUGGCUU